CAUAUUUUUUAAAAUCAGAGACAAAGAAUUUUCAACAAAAGUCACGCGUGGUUGAAAACUUGGAAACUCUGGGAAAAACACACCGUUCAAAACAGCAACUUUAUUCUAGUUAGGUAGUGUUCACUCUUCAAUCUUCAUCACCAUUUUUCCUGUGACUUUCCCUUGCAAGUAGCCCAUCAAACUUGAAGAGCUAAAAGAAGUUCGUUUUUGCUGCUCUUCAUAGUUCCGACCCAUCAUCAUUGCUUAUUGAAACUUGUCCUUUUUUAUUGGUAUUUUUUGUCUUGGUUUCAAAAAUCAUUGCUUUAGUUUAGGGGUAUCUUUGUGUAAUUGUUCAUUCAUUUCUUAAGUUUUUUGUUUUUCGAUUUCUUCAAGGUCGAUCGUGUGCUAUACUACUACUUAGUUCACAAAGAUCUUAGCUUGGAUUCUGCGAUUGUUUUGCUUUCGGAUAUAAGUGAGAGAAAACAUUCUGUUUCUUUUUUUAAUCAUUUCAGGUGAGAUUCGGUACCUGAAACUCUCCAAACUGGGUUUUGACAUUUUGGGUUUCAAUUAUCCAAAAAUUUGACUUAUCUAGCAAGAUUUCACUUAUAAAUUUGACAAUUUGACUUUUGGGCUUUACAUUUAUUUUCAUUGGGAUCUAGCUUGUGUUGCCAAGUGAAUCUAAGCUUUGGGUUCUCAGAAUCUUAACCAAAAAUUUUGAGCCUUUUCUUCUACCCUGUUUCAGAAAGCUCCAAAUCGACCUGAUUUAGCUCAAUUUUGUAGAUUUUAGAGUAUCCUUCACCUGGGUUUGCGAUCUAGUUAGCUGGAUUGCUGUUGCUUUUCUUUGAUUUGUAAUUUCCUACCAUCCAAUUAAAGUUAAAAAUAAAAAAUAAAAUUCUGCAGCUGAUAAUCUGGCCAGUAGAAACACUCUUUUUUGAUAGCAAACAUAUAUACAUAUAAAGCUUAGUUUUACUUCUUAUCGAUUCUUGCUGUGCAAUUGGCAAUGAUGGGAGGAAAAAUUAGCAAGAAAACUUCUAGUGAUGCCCCACCACCACCGCCACCACCACCACCGCCGCCACCACCACCACCAGCAGAAGCAGCAGCACCAGCACAACUCCUCCAAAUAAAUGCUGAUGCCACUUUCAAUGUUGAUCUUAGCUCUUAUGAGGCGGCGUGUAUGCUUGAUCCAACCUUGCAGUCCUUUGAUGCUACUAUCCAAGCGCACACAAACAGGGUCAUCAGCUCGCUUGCCACUGGGGUCGAGGUACGGUCCCUAUCUUUUGAUGCACUCAGAGAAGUCACAAAUAGUCUGCUAGAAAUGAACCAGGACGUGGUUAAAGUCAUUCUAGACUGUCAGAAAGAUGUGUGGAAAAAUCGAGAAAUGUUCUCAUUGGUGGAGAUUUACUUUGACAACAGUCAAAAAACAUUGGAGUUCUGUACAACCCUUGAGAACUGCCUGAAGCGCACACGUGAUAACCAGUUGAUGAUGAUUCAACUUGCGGUUAAUCAUUUUGAGGAAGAAGUAGGAGAUGGGGUUGAUGGGGGGAAGUAUGUGAAGACAUUGCAAGAGUUAAGGAAAUUUAAGGCGGCCGGGGACCCUUUUACAGAAGAGUUUUUUGAGCUGUUUCAAUCGGUUUUUAAGCAGCAUCUUUCAAUGCUUUCCAAGCUGAAGCAGAGGAAGGAAACGUUAGAUAAGAAAUUGAAAUCUGUGAAGACGUGGAGCAGAGUGUCGAAUGUCAUUUUUGUUGCUGCCUUUGCGUCUGUGUUGAUAUUCUCUGUGGUGGCAGCGGCCAUGGCUGCUCCGCCUGUUGUAACAGCUUUGGCAGCUGCAUUGGCUGUUCCAAUGGGCCCAGUGGGAAAAUGGUGUAACUCACUUUGGAAGCGCUAUGAGACUGCACUGAAAGGACAAAGGGAGGUAAUCAGCACAAUGCAAUUUGACACUCUUUUUACAAUGAGGGACUUGGAAAGCAUUCGAGUACUUGUCAACAAAGUGGAAAUUAAGGUUGAGUCACUGAUGCAGACUGCUGAUUUUGCUCUUAGAGAAGAGGAGGUGGUGAAGCUUGCAAUGGAUGAGAUCAAAAAGAAGCUGGAAGAGUUUAUGGAUGGCAUUCAGAAGUUAAGUCAGCAUGGUGAUAAGUGUAGCCAGGAAAUAACAAGGGCAAGGACGGUGCUUUUGCAGAAAAUAAUGAAAACUCCAAACAACUGAAGAACACAUUGCUGCUUGCAUGAUUAAACCUAAAGACCCAAUCGCGCUAAUAUUCAAAAAUUAGAAGUAAGGUUAAUUUCCUUUCAUGUCUCCACAUGGGGUUUAAAGACAUAUGCUUGAUGAAUUAUUUGGUGGAUUCUAGACUUCUUGGUGCAAGUUGUAACUGGUUCUCCAACUUGCCUGUUUCUUUUGUGAUUAAAUGACAAAGCUAGAGGUUGAUGGUUAAGGGACCACAGAGAUAGAGAGACUGCUGGGAUUUAAAGUGAUGAAUGUCACUGGCAAUUUUGGUUGAUUAUUCUCUGAUUAGGCCUUUUUUUGGUCCAUUUGAAAUCUAUUAUACAUUUAUACUUACAAGCUACAUAAUAGGAGAUAAUCCUCCAUUCCUUAAACCUCUCUCCCCAUGAUGUAGGUGGAAUUUGAUCUCAAGUCCCUUGUUUGAUGACAACAUACUUUAUCAAUUAAGCCAAUUGACACCUAUAAUUGUCCUUUUUA